CUUAUCACAUUUUGGAAAGUGCGGCGCGUCUUAUCGCAGACUUAACGUCAUUUCCAUGUUUACUCGGCCACGCGUGCUCGCCGUCACAUGCUCGGGGGCACGCGCAGGUCGUGGCUCUCGUCGCCGUACUCCAGAGUUCGUGACCUCUGCCAGGCAAAGUCACGCUCGAACACGUGAAGCAGCAUUUUUUUUUUUUUUUUUUUUUGGGUUUACUAUUCAAGCAUUUGAUUUUAUGUUCCCAACUAGCUUGUUCGGUAGUUAUUUGGCAGGAUUAAGAAAAAAAACAAAAAAAGGGACCCAAAAAAUCUCUUUGGCAAAGUGGAGAAGUACCUUCAAAAGUACACUAUCGCCACUUACAGGCCUGGAGUUCAACAACAGCAAAGUACAACUAAAAUGUUCAUUUAGCGUCGGCACGGUGACCGACUGGUUAGAGCGUCUGCCUCGCAGUUCUGAGGACCUGGGUUCAAUCCCCGGCCCCUCCUGUGUGGAGUUUGCACGUUCUCCCCGUGCCAGCAUUUUCCUCCGCUUAUCCAAGGUUGUUUUUUUUUUUUUUUUUGCUCUGUAUGAGAUAUAAAAUGUAUAUUGGAAAGAAAGACAGGUUCAUUCUCUCAGUUCAGAACCACUUUGUAAUGCACAUUAGCGCCCCCUUCAGGACUGCACUACUGCUACAGCAAGAUAUGACUCCAAAUUAUGAGAGUUUUCUGUUUGCUCUGCAUUAAAUAUAAAAUACAUACCGGAAAGAAAGUGACUCGGUUGUGAAAUACUUGUAAUGCACAUUAGCGCCCCCUGCAAGACCACAGUUCAACCACAGCGAUAAACUGCUCCAAAUUUCAAGAUUUAUUUUUUAUUUUUUAACAGACAUUUAGUGCUGUGUUAACUAUAAAAUGAAUAUUGGAAAGAAGGAAAGAUAAUCAGUCUCUUAUCUCACUUUCUCAUACACGUUAGCGACCCCUGCAGGACUGGAGUUCAAUAAAGGUAUAACCGCCUUCAGGCUUCCGAUCGGCUCACAGCAGUUGGGGGUUACGGCGCCACCUGGUGUUCCGGUUUGCACUUGACAAGCCAUACGCAUGCAGGCAAAACCUCUGAAAACAUUUUGUGUGAUCCGAUUUAACGAGAGAGUGCGGAGGGCUUCGGUUCGCGUGUGGUCGUCUCCAAGAAAAACAAAAGCGGACAAUCCCGCCCGCCCGAUCCGUCCGGCAGCGAUUCAAACAUUCCGCAGCUGCGGCGGCGGACAGCUGCGCCGUUAACGAGGACCGCUCGGCGCUCCGUUGAGAAGAAAAUGGUUUUCGCUCCAAUCAGGGAUCCCUUGAUGUGAUUUAUGGUCACUCGAGACGUUCUUCAAAGUCGCAAACAAUUAACGGGCGUUCCUCACGAACUAAAUUAAGCUCAUUUGGUUACUCGUCACUACAUAACUGGCACAUCGGAUGUCGACGCAAAAUUUGUCUUGAUGUGCGAAAGACAGACAAGGCGGCGAUCAAGUGUCCGCAUCACGCAUUUUGCCGUCUAACCUGCAAUAAACACGUUUUCUGGUGCACGACACAAAACUAUCUUUGUGGGGAGAACGCCGGAGCGACACGCUCAACGGGAAGCAGCUGAUGCGUUCAACCUGACCGACCUCACCCUGCACUCGACCCGUGACGUGCGCAACGCACGCGCGUGCAAACGGCGUAAAGUUCCAAACCAAGAAGCGGGAAGUUAAAACAACAUGAUACCUACAUCUGCGCGUGCGCACGUGUGUGGUUGUGUAAGCGUGUUUGUGUAUCUUUAUGAGAGUGUGAGUUUGUGCCUGUGCUUGCGAGUGUGUGUGUGUGUGUGUUUACAUUGUAUAUGUGUGUCCAGGGUACUGCGUUUGGAUGUCAUUAAGGCACGAUAUAAGUAAAGUAACAGGCUUUUACACGCACGCGCGCACACACGCACACACAGGCGCGUCGUGAAUCUGUCAUUGAUUCUAAAUGUGGACUGGCAGCAACGUGCGUGCGAGCGUGCGUGCGUGCGUGCGUCUCAUUAAUGUCACAAAGUCACAUCUGGCUUCGAAAUGCAGAGACGUGAAGUGAGGUGCCAGUUUCCCACGAUGCCUUGCUGCGGGGCAGGAAGCAGGUGGGAGGGCGGACACACACACACACACACACGUAGCGAGGAAGCUCCCGUGGCAGAGAGCGCGGAAGAUGGCCGUCGGAUGGGCCUAUACAGGAAGUUCUCCGCUGGGCCCGCUUCCUGUUUGCUCCGACUCGCUCCGGUCACCGUUUGAACCCGAUUCCCAGUGCGGCACGUCGAAUCACUUGUUUUUAUCUGUCGAAAUAUGGAAAUAGGCCUCGAACGUGAACGUCCGAAUAUCCGCGACAUCGUCGAUUAAUCGACUUCGACUCGACUGCCAUUACUUUAUAGUCGAGUCGUUCGCAGUUACCUUGAAAAAGUAACUUAGUUACUUUACUGAUUACUUAAGCUUAAAAGUAACUUACUGCACCGAUGACUUGAUUUCAAAAGUAACAAAGUUCGAGAAAAGUAACUUUUGAGUUACUUCCAGCAGUACUUUCUCCACCAAUGACAUGCGCCGUGACUGAAUCGAGCGUCUUGCCUUGUUGACUUUUUUGUUUGGCAAUGAGCAUAAAUAGCAUAUUAUUAUUCAAAAGCAUAUUAAACUCUGGUUCUCGUGAACAAAAAAAGUAACUAUUGGCCGAUAAAUCAACGUAGCUGUAAUCUGACUACACCAAUAUAAAAAGUAACGAGUUGGUUUUCUUACGACUUUUGUCAUUUUUGACUCAAAACGGUAACGUGUUACCGGCAUCACUGGUCGUUCGUCCCCUAGUGUGUGUGUGUGUGUUUACACACGCAUAUACUGGCUCCCUUCAAGCGUCAAGUUAAGUAUGAUUCCCAAAGUUCUCAUGAUUUUGCCAACAAAGGCGCGCAUCCUCAAGUGCGCUCCUGCGCUGACCCUUCACCCUUCGGGCCCAAAACACCUGACGACAAGACGGAUGCCGAAGGAAGCGCGGCGAUGAUCUCGCCGGCUUUGACGUGAGCGGCCUGAAUGGAUUUUUGACCCGGAAGCCGGUCCGAAGAAUUCCUCCGCCUCCCGCUCGGACGGACAAUCUUUACGUCUUCCUGUUUUCUUGCAAAAUCGCUUCUCGAUAAGACAGACUUGCAGGAGCCUCACCGGACACUUACAUUUUUUUUUUUGCUCUGUUAGGCUUUUAUUGACAAAAUGUGUUUUUGGCAUGCGUUUUAAAAAUGAUACCUUUCUAAACGGGCUUUUUUUUUGUUUUUUUGUUUUUUUUUGGCACGGCUCGUGAGUUUUGACGCGCGGCUCAAACAGCUCGGGAGAAAUCAGCUUUAGGGGAUGACGUCGCCGAAGACAAAGAAGGAAAUCGAGAGCGACGAUCCGGCGUUUUCCCGUGCGCGCGCCGUCCCACGAUGCACCGCAGCACGGAAAGUGCCGCGAGUCUGCAGGAAACCGCCCACAGGAAGCGCAACACUGCCAGCGCCCCGGCGAAGUCGGACUUCUUACCACGGCCGCCGCCGCAACCAAAAGUCUUCCUUCAUCUUCUGCGCUCCCUCGCUCCUCCCACCCUUCUUUCUUUCUUUCUUUCUUUCCUUCUUUCUUUUUUUAAGCGACAUUUGCAGAAGUGCACACUUUGCGACUAAACGCCGCACACACUUAAAAGUUGUCCAAAAUCAAAGUUCCGAUUUCCAAAGACUCGUCAUUAAAGCGAGCGUGCCUGUAGACCAGGGUCUGCAACUUCCAACCUGCUGCUGCGGCUCGGGAAAAGAAAUAACGCCGAUGGGCUUUCCUGAGGUAUUCGACGCCCGGUAGGCAAACUGCGGACACAUCCAAGAAAUGACGUUUCUGAAGAAAACGCUACGUGGACAAUAUUCAACGCAAACCGCGCACGCCGCACAGAUGACAGCUUCGGAUCGUGUGUGAAAAUAGUCUUGUCUACCACAAAUGCCGUUAACCGGGUCAAAUAAAUCUAUUUUAAUUGGCUCUCAUUUUGCAAAUAUGUUAAGUGAAAAGGUCCUUUCUAAUGCAAGUUGACAGCUGACUGCACGCUCCACGUGUGUUACAUGAUGUGUGCGUUUGCUUCGCUGCGGGUGGCUAGUUGAAAGUGUGGCGUGAAUUUCAUUUGAUCGGAAAGGCCGCGUCCUCGAAGUGUCUUUUUCCCAGAGUUCAAAAUGUUUUGGUCGCAGAAAUAAAAUGUUGUGUUCUCUCUCUA